rnacentral:rRNA from 1 species
UACAGAGGGUGCGAGCGUUGUUCGGAAUUACUGGGCGUAAAGCGCGCGCAGGCGGCCUUUUAAGUCUGGCGGUGAAAUGCCGGGGCUCAACCCCGUUGCAUGCCGCGGAUACUGGGAGGCUGGAGACGAGUAGAGGCAAGCGGAAUUCCGGGUGUAGCGGUGGAAUGCGUAGAGAUCCGGAGGAACACCAGUGGCGAAAGCGGCUUCCUGGUCCAGCACCGACGUUCAGGCACGAAAGCGUGGGGAGCAAACAGG